rnacentral:rRNA from 1 species
ACCGGCGCAAGGGUGCGUAACGCGUGAGCAACAUGCCCGUAUCAGGGGGAUAAUCCAUGGAAACGUGGUCUAAUACCCCAUAGUAAGUUUUUGGGGCAUCUCAAAGAUUUUAAAGCUUUGGUGGAUACGGAUUGGCUCGCGUGACAUUAGCUAGAUGGUAAGGUAACGGCUUACCAUGGCUACGAUGUCUAGGGGUUCUGAGAGGAAGGUCCCCCACACUGGAACUGAGACACGGUCCAGACUCCUACGGGAGGCAGCAGUGAGGAAUAUUGGACAAUGGAUGGAAAUCUGAUCCAGCCAUGCCGCGUGCAGGAAGACGGCCCUAUGGGUUGUAAACUGCUUUUGUAUGGGAGCAAUAAGAUUUACGUGUAGAUUGAUGAGAGUACCAUACGAAUAAGCACCGGCUAACUCCGUGCCAGCAGCCGCGGUAAUACGGAGGGUGCAAGCGUUAUCCGGAUUUAUUGGGUUUAAAGGGUGCGUAGGCGGUUUGAUAAGUCAGCGGUGAAAUAUUUCAGCUUAACUGGAAGGGUGCCGUUGAUACUGUUAUUCUUGAGUGCAGACAAGGUAGGCGGAAUGUAUUGUGUAGCGGUGAAAUGCUUAGAUAUAAUACAGAACCCCGAUUGCGAAGGCAGCUUACCGGACUGUAACUGACGCUCAGGCACGAACGCGUGGGGAUCAAACAGGAUUAGAUACCCUGGUAGUCCACGCU